rnacentral:rRNA from 1 species
GCCUGUUCUAGAACCGAUAACCCCCGUUCAACCUCACCCUUCCUUGUUUAACCCGCCUAUAUACCGCCGUCGUCAGCUUACCCUGUGAGGGACUAAUAGUAAGCAAAACUGGUACAGCCUAAAACGUCAGGUCGAGGUGUAGCGUAUGGAGGGGGAAGAAAUGGGCUACAUUCGCUAUUACAGCGAACACGAAUGAUGCACUGAAACGUUCAUCUGAAGGAGGAUUUAGCAGUAAGCAGGAAAUAGAGCGUCCAGCUGAAAUUGGCCCUGAAGCGCGCACACACCGCCCGUCACUCUCCCCAAAGACGCAAAUCAAUUAACUAAAACCUAAUAAUUAAAAAGGGGAGGCAAGUCGUAACAUGGUAAGCGUACCGGAAGGUGCGCUUGGUAAA